rnacentral:rRNA from 1 species
ACGUAGGUCCCGAGCGUUGUCCGGAUUUAUUGGGCGUAAAGCGAGCGCAGGCGGUUAGAUAAGUCUGAAGUUAAAGGCUGUGGCUUAACCAUAGUACGCUUUGGAAACUGUUUAACUUGAGUGCAAGAGGGGAGAGUGGAAUUCCAUGUGUAGCGGUGAAAUGCGUAGAUAUAUGGAGGAACACCGGUGGCGAAAGCGGCUCUCUGGCUUGUAACUGACGCUGAGGCUCGAAAGCGUGGGGAGCAAACAGGAUUAGAUACCCUUGU